rnacentral:rRNA from 1 species
UACGUAGGGGGCAAGCGUUGUCCGGAGUUAUUGGGCGUAAAGAGCGUGUAGGCGGCUUUACAGGUCCGGUGGGAAAACUCGAGGCUCAACCUCGAGACGCCGGUGGAAACCGUAAGGCUAGAGUCCGGAAGAGGAGAGUGGAAUUCCUGGUGUAGCGGUGAAAUGCGCAGAUAUCAGGAGGAACACCGGUGGCGAAGGCGGGUCUCUGGGCCGAUACUGACGCUGAGGAGCGAAAGCGUGGGGAGCGAUCAGG